AUGAAACAGAGUGGCGGGAGGAAUGUGCUGAGGCAGGAGAAAGGAUAACGAAUUUGAAAGAUGACAGCUGCAAUGAUGCCUUAGAAGGAGAAGAAGAGGAAGAUAUGAAUGACAGUGAAGGACUGCUUCUAUUAAUAAACCUGUCUAAGGCAGACAGCCAGGCUCUGACUAACUGGCAGCAGAGAGGACGAGAAUGAGGAAGAUGAAGACUUCCGGCUGAGCCUGAUGACGUCCAGACCUCUCUCUAAGCCAGGAAGUGAUAUCCUAGAAUGUGAGCCCACAGUCUCUUCACAGAGGGAAAACCAUGAGACAGCAGCCUGCCUCCUCUCCUCUACCUCUCCGUUCGGAAACCAUGGAACGUGGGACAGCCACAACCCCAACCUCCGCCCUACAGAGCCCUCUGACCUGCUGCAUCCCAGACUCAGACUCCCCCGUCAUGGUCAGCUCAUAGGAAGAGAUUCAAAAAAGUGAAACUGAAGAUCAGAAAAUCCCUUUGUCUAUGAUGGAAAAAACGGUAUCAACAAGAAGUCUCAAGUUUGACUCUGACGGUACAGGACAACUUCACAACAGUUGAACCAAUUAUUACAGAAAACAACCAUUCUGAAACCUGUUAAAUCUCUUCAAACUAAAUAAAACUUUUCAAUUACAGUAAUCCCCAAGUUUGACACAUUUUUGAAUUUUCUUCUUCCCUUGUGAGACAAACGUAGAAUGUGAUAUAUUAAACAAACCUGGUAUAGUGAAAGUAAGAUACUUUCAUCCAUGGGAGUGUCCCUGGCCUGGAGGCAUGCUGUUGUCUCAUUCUUAUCUUAACUUACAGCAUGCAUCGGCAAGGAACCUGUUUCCAUAUCAAAAACAAAUCAAUACAUGAUCAAAUGUGAAACCUAGUGAUUUUUCGGUGGUUGGCGGUUUAUUAGAGAUAAGGGUGGGUUUAGGACAGACUCUCCCUAUAUCUCUUCUGUGUCUGCUUUCACAUUUACUGAAGCAAUCCACUGUAAUAAAGAAGAAAGAACAACUCUCUGAUUACUCAACCAUGUUUCUCAUUCAAACACUCGGGAUCAGUUUCUAUGGCUACACGAAUUCUGAUACAGUUAGAUAUCUUUAUCUUAACUAACCAUGUUAUUCUAUGGUGGACUAAAUGUAUGUAGGCAGCAUUGGGAUUUAAGUUCACAACAUAAGGAAACAUUACUUUCCUUGUUUCCUCUGACAGCGCUUGUUUCAAAUAAUAAUAACAAUAAUAAUAAUAACAAUAACAAUAAUAAUAACAGAGCCUGUUUCUAGUUCCCAAGGGCCAACUCUGUCUGUAGAUGUUGGACUUAUUACCUCUAUAGGCAAUCACUUGUUCAGCAGCCCAGCAACAUAUGUCAUGUGAAGUGGGGCUAGAUGGGGGAGAGGGUCCAGGAUGUUUUUCAGUACCUGAUAAUAUUCUCUGCCUGCUGUUGUAUUGGGCUGGUGAUUGUGAAAGCACUAAGUCAGCCUUUAUGGACCUCGAGGACAUACUGUCCUGAACCUCUGGUUUGAAUUAAGAGCUUUUUAGGAUGAUAUUCAUCAUUCCCUUAGUUAUUCAGCUGUACAAUUGUAGAAGAGCUGUCUCUCACUGGGCUUAGUGAAUAAUUUAUUAUUACAUUUAUUAUUUUCCCAAAAAUGUCCCCCUUAACUUUGUUUUAGUUUAUAGUAGACAGAAUAUGUGCAGUAAAAGAGAUGACUCAUCCUGAUUACUCAGGAAAGUGUAGUCUUGCCCAUGUUUAAAAGCUAUUUUAUUUUUCUUUAACAAGCUUAAAUAUGUCAUACAAAAAGCAUUGACAUAGCAAACAUUAAAUAAAACAUUUUUCCUUGUGUGAAGAGAAUGUGUAGGAACAUACUGUUCUGACACUUGGUCUUGAUGGGCGCUGAAUAAGUAGACGACUGCUUCAACAGGGGGCGGCAGGUAGCCUAGUGGUUAGAGAAUUGGACUAGUAACCCAAAGGCUGCCCCUGAACAAGGCAGUUAACCCACUGUACCUAGGCCGUCAUUGAAAAUAGGAAUUUGUUCUUAUGUCUAGUUAAAUGAAGGUAAACAUAGCAACAUAAAUGGUCAGACUUGUCAUUUAUCUGUCCAUAAAACCUCUGCCUGCCUUUCUGUUGACUAACAACAUAAUAAUUAAUGGUUGCCAGAGGAGAGCGUACAGUAGCAGACAGUACAGUGUUCCAAUGUUGGGCUAGUGUAGUGUAUUUGAUUAAUUCCGUCAAAGUUUGCAUACUGUCUGUAUCUAGUUUGUUCACUAGAUGUAUCUCCAUGUCUAAUGAUUUUCUGGUAGACCAGCUUGUUUCCAAUAGUGUUCCAAUUGUUUUGGCAUCAUCACUUAUGAACACUCUUCUACUGUAGUUUUCUGGA